CACACUUGAUGAUAACCAUCGCGAAGGUCUAUCUUCGAAUAAAUCCGGGAACCACCCAACUCGUCCAUCAAAUCAUCAAUUAGAGGAAUAUGAAAUUUAUCUUUCAUAGUUGUGUUGUUAAAUCCCCUAUAAUCCACACAUAACCUCCAUGAACCAUCUUUCUUCUUAACCAGCACCACUAGAGAAGCAUAUGGACCAUAGUUUGCUUGUAUGGUACCCGCUGAGAGAAACUCUUGAACCAUCUUAUCAAUUUCAUUCUUUUGGUGUACUGCAUAGCAAUAAGACCUUUGGUUCACUUGAAUAGCACCUUCUAUCAGUGGUAUCCUAUGAUCAUGAUGACCUCUCAAUGGUGAUAAAGCUAUAGGUUCAUCAAAAAUAUAUUUAUACUCCUCAAUUAGUUUUUCCACUUCCAUCGCUAGUUCUUCAGAUCUUGUCUUAACAACUGCAGAGCACAACUGCACCUCUGUUUGCUCUGUCAACAUCUGUGUAGAAAUCGUUGGCAAUUGUACUGAAUCUUCUUGAUGUUUGUUCAACUUAGCAGCUUUCACCUCCCGUAUAGAUCUUUCUCUGAUCCCAUGUAACAAGACUUUACGGCGAUCCAUUUUGAAUAACAUUGUCAAGUUUUAAAAGUCCCAAGUUAUUGGUCCCCAUUGCUGCAACCACUGAACACCCGAAACCAUAUCACAACCUCCCAAAAGAAUCAGCAUGAAAUCAAUUGUAAAAGUAAUACUGUGAAAGUUCGACUCUAACCCCUCCACAAAUGCUGACACGCCCAACUUAUGACCAUCUGCUACUGUCACUUUUGUUAAACCAGCUGGCUUAAGUGUGCAUUUCAACUUCUCAGGCACACUCUUGUCAAGAAAGUUGUGUGUUGAACCCGUGUCAAUGAGUAUGAAAAGUGAUAUUUUCCCAUGUGUUCAUUUAACUUUCAUCGUCUUGUAAUCAGAAAUGCCAUCAAUAGCAUUAACCGAAAUUUGAGCUACUUCACCUCCAUCUUCCAUUCCCAACUCCUCCUCCUCAUCAUUAAUCUCAUCAUCCUCUUCCACUUCAAUCAUGAACAACUGUGACUUCUUAUGCUUGAGAUAAUGACCAUGAAUAAACUUCUCAUCACAAAAGUAACAGAGUCCUUCAGCUCUUCUUCUACUCAUUUCUUCUUAUGAUAGAAACUUUCGUGGUUGAUUCUCUAACGGUUUGUCUUUGUUAACUAUCAAACCCUCUUUGUAGUCAACCUCCUUCUUAUAUGGUAACACGGCCUUUGUUGCUACUGAUUGUUUAGUCUGCGACCAAACUGGUGGUGUAGCUUUCCUCGGAUGUGCCAUCUCAUAGAGUUUCCCAAGCAUCAAACAUUGGCGUACCGAUUGAGACUGAAACAUCCUUAUAUGCAUCCGAGUGUCCAUUCUCAGGCCUCAAAGAUAAGCACUGACCAAAUACUCCUCUGAAAGCUUAACUCUUGUUUUAAUCAACUCGAAUUUCCCAUGAUAAUCCACAAUACCAUCCGUCUCUUGUAACUUCUUAAGCUCAACAAUUGGAUCGUCAAACAAUUCUUCGAACCUCUCCACCAGUAGCGACUUAUACAAUGGCCAGUUGAACAAUAAAUUUUGAUUCUCUUCUUGUUGAACUACAGACUGAUGCCAUGUUGCAACAACCAUCAAAAUGAAUCGAAGCCAAUCCUGCCUUCAUAUUCUCCGGCGUAUUAUCCAUCAUAAAUAAUUGCUCAACCUUAACUAUCCAUUCCUUCAUCUUUUUGCCAUUGAAUCUAGGAAAAUCAAGUUUCGUGAGGCGAGUCAUGCCUGAAUAGUUAUGUGAAAUACAUGAUCGUCCUCUCCCUAGAUCAGCUUGAUUCGCUUGAAUCGUUGGAGAAGUUGAAUGAAUCUGCGACGUUCGUCUGAUAUUAACGUCAUCACUCGUUAAAGCUUGAUUCUGUUGCAUUGAUAUCAAACGAAUCGCUACGAACAUCUCCGCGAAAAUUUUCUCCAUCUUCGUAUUCUAAUCCAGAAUCAUUGCAUUCUGAUCAGCUACCGUCGUCUCCAACAACUGCGUACGAUCGAGAACUUGAUCGAUCUUCGAUCCCAAGCUUCAUUCCACUUCUCGAAUCAUAGCUUCCUUCAACAACGCCUGCGAUCUAGUCUCCGCCAUCGAUGAUUCCAAUGAAAGAUCGAGCUUUGAUACCUUUAAUACCGUAAAAUAAUAUUCGAUUUGAAACAAGUAACAACAAAUCCAAUGGUCAUAAAACACCGAUUUGACUCACAAUGAUAAACUCCGACUACAAGUACGAAGCUCAAUAAACUGAGAUUUUCUGGAAAAGUUCUAGAGAAAAAUGAGAAGAAGAGAAAAUGCAACAAUAUUUUUCUGAUAUUUUCCUAACAAAAUUUGCUCUGUUUAUAAACAGAGUCAACCUAUUCAGUUACGCAGUUGACCCGAAAGAUCACGUGGAUUGCUGACUCAGCAUCCUCCUUUUAUUCUUCAUUUUAACUAUAUCACAAGGUAACAAAAUCAAAACCUAAAACAACGAGAGGUUUAGUAGCAAAAGACUACAGUCAGUCAAGCGAACAAGCAACGAAGAGGAUUUAACAGAAACAAAACUCACUUGAACUUCUUGUCUAUGAUGAAAAGCCAAGAAGCAAGUCGAAUAGCACCACACACACUGACUGACCCACAGCAACCCCGAAACAUGGAACCAAGAACUGAAACAUCCGGGACAACCCCUCUACACAAUUGCAUCUUCAUCCGAUUGAACCAAAACUUCAACCUCAUCAUAUUGCUUCAAAAUCUAAGAAGAAGCCACUAAGAAAUUAUGAGAUCAGCUAACAACGAGAAAUAAAACGAACUCUUAUGAGCUCUAUUUAAAUCAAAAUUUGAUUUUGUUGAUUUUAAAAAACAUUAUAGCAAAAUCAUAACAAAUCUCAUAAAAAUAUACAUGCCCACUAAGUUUGGAUGAAAAUACUCAUAUAUUAACACUAUACUAUUGAAUAUGAAUGUAAACAUAGCAUCAGGAUGCAAAAUCCCAAUAUAAAAUUUUUAAAUAUUUAAGAUAUUAAAAAAUAAUAGAGUCUAAAUGUAAAAUUUACAUUUCAAAAUCCAAAAGAUUUAAAUACCACUAAAUACAAUAUACAAUAACUAGUUUUAUUAUAUUUAUUAUUUCUUAUUGACCUAAGAAUAUUCCGAAUUUGUAGAAAUAUCGACUCUAACAGAGAGAUGCAGCUCACAGAUGGACUUUUUUUCCGGAUAUUCGAAUGAUGUUCAAAGCAUGGGCAUAUUCAAAUGAUGUUCAAAACAUGGGCAUAUGACCAUACAUGCAGAAUUAUAUCUUUUGAUAACUGAACGAAUCAGCUUUACAAAUAAAUUAAUUUUAGGUUUCUAAUUUUCUGAUAUUCAGAUAUAUCAUAAUUUAUACAUAAUUUUUUUAAAUAGUAUUUGGUUAUUCUACUGAUAUUUAGGGAAAGUUUCUAACAAUAUUGGAAUACCACACUGGAAUUGAUACAACUACAGGCUUCGAAGUUCGUUUCUAGUUAAACAUAAACCUUAUAUUUUGCCUUCGUUAUCCUAUAUAACAUUAAUAAUUAUGUGAAAUUUAAAGUAUAUUAAUAAAUUAUAUAUAGGUCACAUUUUUAGAGUUUUAAAGAGAAAAAGAUAAAAAAAAUAUUAAAAACAUUAUUUGCAAAGUAUAAAAAAUCUUUGUGACUUCAUUUCGUUCCAUAGAAAUUAAAAAUCAAAUAAUUAAGGAAAUGUAUCUUUUCUUACAACAUAUAUGAUAAUAUAAUAUAUUUUCAAUAAAAUUGUUGUUCAUAUUCCAAAUUGGAAGAUUUAUGGUAUUAUAUAUUGGUAAAUAUGUAUAUAUUAAGGAUAUUUGACCAAGAACAACAUCAAUAUAAAUAUACAUUCAUUUAAUGUUGUUGACUGACUUGAUUCAUCAAAUCUAUAAAUGUGCCAAAAUUUAUAAAGAAGUGAAAACAAAAUUUUAAAUAUCUUUCAAGAUUUAGAUUCACCAAAGAAAAAAUGGCUUCCUUAAGUGAUGAAAUUUUCGAUGUUAUUGGUGAACUCAUCCUUAUGAAGGAAGAAUCAAAAGAAGAUGAAGAGCACGUGAGGGGUUUGGAGAAAACUUUAAUUGAAUACCUUGAUGAAAACAAGAUUAUUCUGGACAGCCAACAUUUUGAAGCAAUCCGACAUUUAAAUAUAGAUAGAUUAAUUGAGUCUCAGCUGAAAAUCAUAGAUAAUUGUAUUGAAGAGAACAAUAAGCUUAUUGAAGCGAUGAAGGUUUGCCCAGGGGAGGAUUGCCCGUGUAGCUGCCACAGUCUUACCAAUAAAAAAACCAAUAAUUAAUAUAUGAACAUCAUUACCAUGUAGUAUCAUAUAUGAUCAAAUGUACUUUGCUUAUACAUCUAAAGCUUUGAUGGAAUAAUAAAUGAAAUCCAAAUAUGUUUUUUGUGCAUCUAUAUACAACUGAUAUUCUCAUAAUUAAAUAUAAUUGGCUUACUAAAUUGUUUUAGAGCAAUUGCACUUGAUAUACAAGAUAAAAAGAUUAUUUAGGUGAUUGGCUUCGUACUGUUUCAUUUUCCUUAUAUCCCAAAAGUAACCCUGUUGAUAUCUUGUCUCUGCUAGCGAUUAGUAAAUCUCUCCACAAUUUGUCUGGUUCCAAUUUCUUCCACUCAUGGAACUUCACCUCUGAUCCAUGCGGCUUUGCUGGAGUCUACUGUGACGGCGAUAAAGUAAUUUCUCUCAACCUCGGCGAUCCCAGAGCCGGUUCACCCGGAUAAAAGACCUUCGUUUCUUAGCAAUCAGCCAGAAUUUCAUCUCCGGGGAGAUUCCGGCGAGUCUCGGCGAGGUUCACCGUCUCAGAACGUUUGAUUUGAGCUACAAUCAGCUAGCGGGAACUAUUUCUCCGUCCAUCGGGUCCUUACCGGAGCUCUCCAAUUUGAUUCUCCGCCACAAUCACUUAACCAGAUCAAUCCCUCCGUUUCUCUCGCAAUCGCUAACCCGAAUCGAUCUCAAACGCAACAGCCUCACCGAUUCAAUCUCUCCCUCUGUCGUUGAGAUAUUUAUCACUCGCUUGGAACCAAUUAACCGGACCGGUUGACAGAGUUUUACUCCGGUUAAACCAGCUUAACUACCUCUCUUUCGUCUGACAUCUCUGACACAGCAUGUUUUGUGCGGUGAAUCUUGCAUGAGAGAUAUUGGCUGUGGGGAUUUCACGUCGAGGUGGAGGGACCACCGGAGACGCUCGUUCGAUGGAUGCUCCUGCGUUUUAACGGAGAUCGCCGCUGCGGUUUGCUAUUAUAUACGUUAACUCUUUGCUCUUUGUCUUGGAUGGAUAAAGGGGUUUGGUUUUGUGAUUGAAGAGAAUGAGAAAGUGUUGAGAUAUGUGGAGUGAUGAAUGAUGAUGCGUAUUUAUACGAACGUAAUUAAAUACAUAUAUGGCGACGUUGCUGGAGUUUUUUUUUCCGUUUCAUAGAAUCUAAUCUUAUCACUAUGAUUUCGUUUUAGGGACAGAAUGGUAAGUUCUCAUUCACCGAUUUAUCCUCAUACCUAAUUAAAAAGUUUUAUGUAUAGUUACCUAAAUAACUUUUAUUCUAUGUAUUUCCAACCAAAUAGGCCAU